AGUGAACGCUGGCGGUAGGCCUAACACAUGCAAGUCGAACGGCAGCACAGAGGAGCUUGCUCCUUGGGUGGCGAGUGGCGGACGGGUGAGGAAUACAUCGGAAUCUACUCUGUCGUGGGGGAUAACGUAGGGAAACUUACGCUAAUACCGCAUACGACCUACGGGUGAAAGCAGGGGAUCUUCGGACCUUGCGCGAUUGAAUGGGCCGAUGUCGGAUUAGCUAGUUGGCGGGGUAAAGGCCCACCAAGGCGACGAUGCGUAGCUGGUCUGAGAGGAUGAUCAGCCACACUGGAACGGAGACACGGUCCAGACUCCUACGGAAGGCAGCAGUGGGGAAUAUUGGACAAUGGGCGCAAGCCUGAUCCAGCCAUACCGCGUGGGUGAAGAAGGCCUUCGGGUUGUAAAGCCCUUUUGUUGGGAAAGAAAUCCAUCUGGUUAAUACCCGGGUGGGAUGACGGUACCCAAAGAAUAAGCACCGGCUAACUUCGUGCCAGCAGCCGCGGUAA
rnacentral:rRNA from 1 species